AAUUCUUCUUGGCCUUUUGGCUAAGAUCAAGUGUAGUAUCUGUUCUUAUCAGUGUAAUGUCUCAUAUGCCCUCUACCCGAGGACUAUAUAUUAGAUAGAUUUCUGGAACUAGGAGAUAGAAUAGGAGCUUGCUCCAUUCCCUCCAUGCAUCCACCUGGCAUUUCAAUAAGUAUAAGAACAGUGCACCCCGU